GACGAACGCUGGCGGCGUGCCUAAUACAUGCAAGUAGAACGCUAAAGCUUGGUGCUUGCACCGAGCGGAUGAGUUGCGAACGGGUGAGUAACGCGUAGGUAACCUGCCUGGUAGCGGGGGAUAACUAUUGGAAACGAUAGCUAAUACCGCAUAAGAGUAGAUGUUGCAUGACAUUUGCUUAAAAGGUGCAAUUGCAUCACUACCAGAUGGACCUGCGUUGUAUUAGCUAGUUGGUGAGGUAACGGCUCACCAAGGCAACGAUACAUAGCCGACCUGAGAGGGUGGUCGGCCACACUGGGACUGUGACACGGUCCAGACGCCUACGGGAGGCAGCAGUAGGGAAUCUUCGGCAAUGGACGGAAGUCUGACCGAGCAACGCCGCGGGAGGGAAGAAGGUUGUCGGAUCGUAAAGCUCUGUUGUAAGGGAAGAACGAGUGUGAGAGUGGAAAGUUCACACUGUGACGGUAUCUUACCAGAAAGGGACGGCUAACUACGUG
rnacentral:rRNA from 1 species